rnacentral:rRNA from 1 species
UACGUAGGCAGCGAGCGUUGUUCGGAGUUACUGGGCGUAAAGAGUGCGUAGGCGGUUUUCUAAGUUUGGUGUGAAAUCUCCCGGCUUAACUGGGAGGGUGCGCCGAAGACUGGAAGGCUUGAGUAUGGGAGAGGUAAGCGGAAUUCCUGGUGUAGCGGUGAAAUGCGUAGAUAUCAGGAGGAACACCUGCGGUGUAGACGGCUUACUGGACCAUCACUGACGCUAAGGCACGAAAGCGUGGGUAGCAAACAGG